CCGACCCACUAGAUUAUACUUCACGAUCGCUAUACUCUCUGUCGCAAUUACAAUAAAAGAUUUAUUUUCCCUUCUGAAUGCAAUGAGGGGAUUGAAAAAACAAAGAGAAGAAUGUCAACACUCACUAACGUGAUAGAGGAGGUUGAGAAUGCAAAAAUAGUCAAGCCAUGCACUAGAAACAACUGAAAACGAGCAACAAAAUAAGUUAAAACUCUCCAUAUGGGC
rnacentral:lncRNA from 1 species